GUGGGGAAUAUUCCGCAAUGGACGAAAGUCUGACGGAGCAACGCCGCGUGAGUGAUGAAGGUUUUCGGACUGUAAAGCUCUGUUGUUUAGGACGAAAGUGCCUGUUGCAAAUAGUUACAGGUAUUGACGGUACUGAACGAGGAAGCCACGGCUAACUACGUGCCAGCAGCCGCGGUAAUACGUAGGUGGCAAGCGUUGUCCGGAAUUAUUGGGCGUAAAGAGCAUGUAGGCGGGAAUCUAAGUCUGUUGUGAAAAUGCGGGGCUCAACCCCGUAUUGCGAUGGAAACUGAAUUUCUUGAGUGCAGGAGAGGAAAGGGGAAUUCCCAGUGUAGCGGUGAAAUGCGUAGAUAUUGGGAGGAACACCAGUGGCGAAGGCGCCUUUCUGGACUGUGUCUGACGCUGAGGCGCGAAAGCUAGGGGAGCGAACGGGAUUAGAUACCCGGGUAGUCC
rnacentral:rRNA from 1 species